rfam:Picea glauca, whole genome shotgun sequence.
AUACAUUUCUUGGCCUUUUGGCCAAGAUCAAGUGUAGUAUUUGUUCUUAUCAAUUUAAGAGGGAUUGGAAAAACAUCACCCCUACCUAAAACAUUAAUCACAAAUCACU